rnacentral:lncRNA from 1 species
CUGGCCGUUGAAAAUACCCUCUCCAAAUACACUUUCGUCGUGAACAACGAAUCGCAACAUGGCAAAAUCUGGAUUGUCUACCUCAAAUUCGCAGCAUUCAUCCCAUAUUGGAUUGAAGCCAUUGUUCUCUGAAAUAUAUAGAGUGCCAUCUUUCAAAAUCCUUGGAGCACCUGCCACUUCUGAUCUCUUUGAUGUCCCUGAACUCGACUGCAAAUUUCGACAGGUAUUUCAAUAACGAGUUUGACGUAAGAGCCUUUAACUCGGAUCUCAACACUUGGCACUUCUGAAGCGUAGAAAGGCUUAUACAAGACGUGGGUAUAAUAUGUGUUCGACCGUUCGCGGCUAUCUGAAAGUGGAAGUAAAAUCUACCAGCUAAUUCGAUAAAAUGCGAUAAAAAAGUUGCACUUCGCUGCGGUCAGCAUGCUCUGUAUUAAUCGGGUGAUGGUAAAUAAACGAUGUGCGCUUACUAUCCAGUACCGAAGCCAUUCUUUUUCAGCGGGUGAGUUGUUUGUCGAUAAACAUAUUGAAUAAUCUAGGGAAUUUACUUCUUUACUUCCUGAAGCGUUGACUGAAGAAUGUAAAGAAAGUUGCCCCAAUGGACUUUGAUGUGACAACCAAAAAUCGUCGUGCGCUUACGCUCCCUGAGAUUUUCCAAUGAUAGAGUUGAGAACUUAUUGCAGAACAUCAGAGAGUUACCGAUUUCGUCUUGAUGCUGGCUGCAUUCGCCUUCCGAGUAACACAGUCUUCGCAAUGGUAAGUCCAUAGACUUUUAUAAGUCUAUGGGUAAGCCCAAGCCAGUACUUAACCUGUGUGUACUUACCGGCUUGUCGGUGAUGCAAGAAAUUGAUACUGAGAACAAAUUUCGUCCAAUAUUCGUAGCAAAACAGUGAUUUAAUUAAAGUAUAGGUACCCGAGAGAAGAAUGCAUGAAUAGAUCAUAAAUAAUAAUAGAUCAGAUGUAAUAAUGAUGCGGAGACCAAAAAGUAUAUGAUAAAUAAAAGGAUAUAGGUAUGUAUGUGCGGUCCAUGUACGAUAUUGAUAAAUAUGACCCAUUUACGAUUGGUACGUGAUGCAUACUAUAAAUUUUAUAAUUUUCCAGGAGACAAACCAGAUUGUUUACAAUAAUUGGCUAUGAUAUAAAAAUAGAAGAAUUAUUCAUUUCGAAAUGGGAUUCUAUUCGACGCGCGCUCGAUGUAUUCCAUAACAUUAGUAUUCAUAAUCAUUCCAACAACUCUUCAUUUACUCUCUCGAUCUUGAAUUUUCAUAGGCAUAGAAUCGAAACGCUGUUUUAGCUCGUCGCAAGUGAAGUAUCUGCGUUGGGUGGAGGAGC